rnacentral:rRNA from 1 species
GGACUACCCGGGUAUCUAAUCCGGUUCGCUCCCCACGCUUUCGCGCCUCAGCGUCAGGUAAAGCCCAGCGAGCCGCCUUCGCCACUGGUGUUCCUCCGGAUCUCUACGCAUUUCACCACUACACCCGGAAUUCCACUCGCCUCUGCUUCCCUCCAGCUCGGCAGUCCCCACGGCACUCGCCCAGUUGAGCCGGGCGCUUUCACCAUGGACUUACCGAACCGCCUGCGCGCGCUUUACGCCCAAUAACUCCGGACAACGCUUGCCACCUACGUCUUACCGCGGCGGCUGGCAC